GUGCAGUUCUCCCUGAUCGACCAGCGGCCCGCUGCCUAGAUGGAGGCUGUCUGUCUCACGGCAUCCAGCUACUGACCUAUGGAACUCUGGCCGGUGGUCUACUCUCAGAGCGCUAUCUAGGGAAGGCAGAGCCUACAAGCAGGGCAGAGCUCAACACCGCCUCCCUCAGUAAGUACAAGAACGUGAUUGACAGCUGUGGAGGAUGGGGGCUGUUCCAGGAGCUGCUGGUUGCCUUGGAGACGGUCACCAGGGGCCACGGCUGCUCCAUCGCCAAUGUUGCUACCCACUACGUCCUGG
rnacentral:lncRNA from 1 species